UUUUCCCGCCUUUUCCCCUCACGAUUUUCCCGCCUUUUCCCCUCACGAUUUUCCCGCCUUUUCCUCCAUCUUGUGAUCCCAUCCCCUCACGAUUUUCCUGCCUUUUCCCCUCACAAUUUUCCCACCUUUUCCCCUCACGAUUUUCCUUUCUCUCCUCCAUGUUCUCACCCCGUCCCCUCACGAUUUCCCCGCAGGAGGAGGGGCUCAAAUUGACCUUCCAGAAACAUCGGCUGGGGCCCAACGGGGCCCAACGGGCGCAAAACCCCCCGAAGAAAAACAGCAAGAAACUGGUGGAGGUGAGGAGAUUUUGGGGCUAAAAGCCCCAGUUUUGAGAGUUCCAGGGCACCGCGGGAUUUCCGGGAGGUUUGGGUUCCCUUGUCUUUAAAUUUAUCAACAGGGAUUUGGGGAAAACAGCGGAAAUUGGGGUUUGCUCUUGGGUUUUGGGGUUGGUGACAGAAUUGUGCAGCUUCCCGUCAGGUUUUUGGGGAGUUUUGCCAAAAUUUGGGUGUUUCUCAUUAGAGUUUUGGGUUCCUUAAGGGGUGUGUGCCCAAAUCUGGGGGUUUCCCAUCAGAAUUUGGAGUUUUCCACCAGAAUUUGGGAAUUUUUCUGUCAGGUUUUUGAGCUGUUUUUGGCGUUGGUGCCCGUACUUGGGGAUGUCCAAAAGAUUUUUGGGUUAUUUCAAGUUUUGUGCCAACAUUUGGGCGUUUCCCAUCAGAUUUGGGGAUUUCCCACCAAAAAUUGGGCGUUUUCUCCUGGAGUUUUAAAUUAUUUUGGAGUUUUGCACCCAAAUUUGGGGGUGGGAUAUUUUUGGGCACCUCCGAGGGGUUCAGAGCAUCCAAACCCCCCCCUGGAUUUCGGGGUGCCGCCAUUUUCACCCCGAAUUUGGGUGGUUUUGUGCCACAAUUCCGGAUUUUUCCCUGAUUUUUGGCGCUUUUUCCCAAAACCGCUGUUUUUCCCCCCAAGCUGGAGCUGCGCUGCCUCGAGGGGCUCCGGGACCCCCCUGGGGGACCCCGAGGGGGGCCCUGGGGGCCCCUCCCCCCCACCGCGGCGACGGCCCCGAAUUCUCCGACCCCCGGCUGCUCCCGGUGAGCCCCAAAAACCCCGGGAUUCACCCCAAAACCGCGGGGCCCGCCCCAAACCCUCCCGAAUUCACCCCAAAUUCUUCUCUCACCCCACCUCAGUUCGUGGAGCAGCGGCGGGAAAAGUGGCACCGGAAAAAGUUCAUCCCCUCCCCCCCCUCAGGUUUGGACCUUUCCAAGAUGGUGGCGUUGAUGGGGGGCGGAGCCAGCAGCGCAGGGGGCGUGGCCUCUCCUUCCUUAGCCCCGCCCCCGCGCUUCCGGCCGGAAGCAGAAGAGGAAGCGGAAGCAGGGAGCGGGUGCUGCCCCCUGCUGGCCGACCCCAUGUUGCCACCCACUUCCGACUCGGAUUAAGCCCCGCCCCUUUUCCUGCCGGGGCCACGCCCCCCUUCCCAUAUUUAUAUAAAUAUGUAAAAUGUCUCUGUGUCAUAGGGGGCGGGGCGGGGGGCGGGGCUGAGCGGGGCGGGGCCGAGCAGGGCGGGGUCAAUGUGGGCAGGGCUGGUGGGAUGGGAGGGGCCUGGCGGGUUUUUUUUAAUAAAAGGUUUGGAAAUGGAGCACAGUGCUGUGAGUGAUUUCCCCCUAAUUACCUGCUAA
rnacentral:lncRNA from 1 species